CAGUCGCCGCGGGAAUACAGAGGGUGCGAGCGUUAAUCGGAUUUACUGGGCGUAAAGCGUGCGUAGGCGGCUUCUUAAGUCGGAUGUGAAAUCCCUGAGCUUAACUUAGGAAUUGCAUUCGAUACUGGGAAGCUAGAGUAUGGGAGAGGAUGGUAGAAUUCCAGGUGUAGCGGUGAAAUGCGUAGAGAUCUGGAGGAAUACCGAUGGCGAAGGCAGCCAUCUGGCCUAAUACUGACGCUGAGGUACGAAAGCAUGGGGAGCAAACAGGAUUAGAUACCCCGGUAGUCCAUGUCUCUUAUAA
rnacentral:rRNA from 1 species